GACGAACGCUGGCGGCGUGCCUAACACAUGCAAGUCGAGCGGGGUCCAUCCGGUAGCAAUACCGGGGAAGACCUAGCGGCGAACGGGUGAGUAACACGUGAGAAACCUGCCCCGAAGUCUGGGAUAACCCGAGGAAACUCGAGCUAAUACCGGAUGUCUUCUUCUGAUCGCAUGGUCGGAUGAAGAAAGAUUUAUCGCUUCGGGAGGGUCUCGCGGCCUAUCAGCUAGUUGGCGGGGUAACGGCCCACCAAGGCGUCGACGGGUAGCUGGUCUGAGAGGACGAUCAGCCACACUGGGACUGAGACACGGCCCAGACUCCUACGGGAGGCAGCAGUGGGGAAUAUUGCGCAAUGGGCGAAAGCCUGACGCAGCAACGCCGCGUGCGGGAUGAAGGCCUUCGGGUUGUAAACCGCUUUCAGUUGGGGACGGAA
rnacentral:rRNA from 1 species